rnacentral:rRNA from 1 species
UACGUAGGGUGCAAGCGUUAAUCGGAAUUACUGGGCGUAAAGCGUGCGCAGGCGGCUUUGCAAGACAGAUGUGAAAUCCCCGGGCUUAACCUGGGAACUGCAUUUGUGACUGCAUGGCUGGAGUGCGGCAGAGGGGGAUGGAAUUCCGCGUGUAGCAGUGAAAUGCGUAGAUAUGCGGAGGAACACCGAUGGCGAAGGCAAUCCCCUGGGCCUGUUCUGACGCUGAGGAGCGAAAGCGUGGGGAGCGAACAGG